GCCCUCGUGGCGCAAUCGGUAGCGCAGGCGCCUUGUAAGCGCCGGGUUGUCGGUUCGAGUCCGACCGAGGGCU
rnacentral:tRNA from 2 species